UACGGAGGGUGCGAGCGUUAAUCGGAAUUACUGGGCGUAAAGGGUGCGUAGGUGGUUGGAUAAGUUAUCUGUGAAAGCCCCGGGCUCAACCUGGGAAGGUCAGAUAAGACUGUUCGACUCGAGUAUAGGAGAGGGUAGUGGAAUUUCCGGUGUAGCGGUGAAAUGCGUAGAGAUCGGAAGGAACACCAGUGGCGAAGGCGGCUACCUGGCCUGAUACUGACACUGAAGCACGAAAGCGUGGGGAGCGAACAGG
rnacentral:rRNA from 1 species